UACGUAGGGGGCUAGCGUUGUCCGGAAUCAUUGGGCGUAAAGCGCGUGUAGGCGGCUUGGUAAGUCCGUUCUGAAAGCCCGGGGCUCAACCCCGGGAGGCGGAUGGAUACUGUCAAGCUCGAGUCCGGAAGAGGCAAGUGGAAUUCCCGGUGUAGCGGUGAAAUGCGCAGAUAUCGGGAGGAACACCAAUAGCGAAGGCAGCUCGCUGGGACGUUACUGACACUGAGGCGCGAAAGCGUGGGGAGCGAACAGG
rnacentral:rRNA from 1 species